rfam:Camelus ferus unplaced genomic scaffold scaffold321, whole genome shotgun sequence.
GAGGGUAUAGCUCACUGAUAGAGCACAUGCUUAUCAUGCAUGAGGUCCUGGGUUCAAUCCCCAGUACCUCCA